AAAGCAGGACAGAUGACCGCCGCCGCACCGCGAGGCGCGGGGGAGGAAAGUCCGGGCUCCGCAGGACAGGAUGCUGGAUAACGUCCAGUCACGGCGACGUGAAGGAAAGUGCAACAGAAAGCAAACCGCCCGGGCAUAUGCCCGGGUAAGGGUGAAACGGCGGGGUAAGAGCCCACCAGUCCGGCCGGUGACGAUCGGAGCUAUGCAAACCCCAUCCGGAGCAAGGCCAAAUAAGGGGAGUGAGAGGGUGGUCCGCCUGAGUCCCCGGGUAGGCUGCUUGACCCUGACGGCAACGUCAGGGCUAGAUGAAUGGUCAUCAUCCCGGCAACGCCUUCAGCUGCGCCGGGAAACAGAACCCGGCUUACGGCCUGCUUUAACA
rnacentral:RNase_P_RNA from 1 species